rfam:Felis catus isolate Cinnamon breed Abyssinian chromosome A2, whole genome shotgun sequence.
GCCUGGGUGGCUCAGUCGGUUAAGCGUCCGACUUCAGCUCAGGUCAUGAUCUCACGUUUCGUGGGUUCAAGCCCCACAUCGGGCU